AUUGUGAUAUCAGUUACUACUCUUAGUAACAGAUUCACCAACUCGUCCAACAUCCUUCCCAAAUCAAAAUAACUUCAACUCACCACAACAAUGACAAUUCGUUAAGCUCAAACAUAAAAUCAAGGAGUUUCUAUUGCAUAGCAUCAACCAAAACCACCACAAAUCAAUUAUGUAUUCCUGUGAUUACAAUCAAACUUGAUCCAUACUUGUAUAACCAAAACGCGACAAUCGAAUUACCAAGCAACACAGAACUUCAAAUUUGUUUCACAAUUACCUUUGUCGAGUUCAGUACAGUACCAAAACCCAAUCUGCACCGGUGAAGGUCUGGAAUCGGCAACAUUCUCGGUUUGAUACCUCGGUGCACAUUCCGGCAACCCAAGCUCUCUAUCCAACUCGCAAAGCUUUUCGAAACUCGGUGAUGAACAAGGUCAACCUUCGUCUGCAGAUGCAGCCUAGCCAAAAACCAAGUCCAGAAGCGCCGGAAAAGCUGCCGGCGUCGAAGAUGGCGACGGGGCCGAAACAACCCACAAACCAAAAACAGUCAAAAUCGAUCGUAUUGAAAAACUAAUUAGACUAACGUGGAGACCAUGACGAGGGGAUCAAUUUCGGUACCUCACGGAACCCCGACGAUCGCCGGAAACUGCAGAAGCUUCGCCUGAAAACCCGAAGCUUUUGGGUUUCGAUUCUCUCUUCUUACUCCAUGCAUGGACGAUCCGUGACCAGAGGAGGAACCACAAUGAGAAGACGCAUCGAGCAUGACCGGUGCGCCGCUGUGAAGUCGCCGGACGAGGGAAGUUUCGAUCGGGUUCAGUCGCCGGGUCGACGGGCUGGAGAAACGGGUCGAGGCUUCUGAUGUGUUCUGGAACAAUCUGGGACGCUGAUCCUAUCAAAGGGCUAUUUAUAGCCUGACUUCAAUUAAAAGGAACGGUGCUGAUCAAGCGGUGGACUUUUAAUGGUCCAGAUCACGCCAGAGCUUUUCUUUUUAUUUAAAAUGAAUUUCCAUAAUUCCUAAACUUCGGAAAAUCGUUAUAGAUAGCUCAGGUAUCCGAAAAAUCCUCCGAAAAUUUCCACGAACUCGUCGUGACGUGUACUUUAUUAUCCAACACCUAAAUUGAGGAUUUUACUUUAUGAAAAUUUCUGAAAAUUUCCUCGAGCAUCUUGACCUUUAUCGAGAUCGUUGAAUAGUUUCGCAUACGAUCUCCGUUAAGCUUGAUACAUUUUUCCGGGGCUCACAAGAUGCGGUGGUGUUUUUCAGUUGGUUGGUUUAGUUUUCCCCUAGUUUAAAUAGAAAAUUACUUAUAAGUGUCAUUUUGAAACUUUAAUUAGUCAUAAGGCCACAGAACUUUUUUGUCUUCAUAAGGCCACUUCCUUCAUUAAAUUUUUUCAUUCUUCACUAUUUUGUCCUUUUAGCUUAUCUCAAAUUAAUCAUUCUCUCUCUCUCUCUCUCUCUCUCUCUCUCUCUCUCUCUCUCUCUCUCUCUCUCUCUCUCUCUCUCUCUCUCUCUCUCUCUCAUCGGCGAAAUACUUCCUCUCUCAACCAUCACGUCGACGACUGGAACUGGAUCGCGUUGACCUACUAGAACUGGAACUAAAUCUCUAACGCAGUAUGCCAUUUUGUGACUAGAUCUUCGACGCACGAACUGGAUCUCCUUAUCAAUAGCUCCGACGCAUCUCAUGCGGCCGCCGCCACUGUUCCUGCUCCGCCAUUCACAGCAAUUUUUGUCCCUGAAAAGCCAACCAAGACGCUUCGCGGCCCUAACAAGCUCGAGUGCAAGGUAUCUGGCGAGGUCUCCGGCGUUCAUCGCCCAACCGCCUCCGUUGCUGGACUCUUUGAUUUCACUGGCUAUCAGUAAGGAUUCAUCUGCUAAUGUGUUGUUGAUCCACAGUAAAUGUUCCAAGGUGUUUUGUGCAGGAGCUGAUUUGAAGGUAGUGCUCGCUAGUCAAUGGCUCCCACAGGAACUUAUUAUUGAAUUGAAGAGUGUUCGUAAGGAUAACAUGAUGAUGGAUUAUGAGGAAAGGUAUAACCAUGGCAAACCACAAAACAUCUUUUACAAAGCAGUUAACAUUCCUGACCUGGUUGUUUUCCCGCGGAACACAUGAUACUGAGUGCAACUAAGAUUCAAGAUUUUGUGAACAAGCUGCGUGCCACAUUCUCUAUAAUUCUUCCCAUAUGCAUUGGCGGUGGUUGAUUCUGAAAAUCAUGUGAAUUUGAGUAGUGAAGCCUCCAUUGACCAAGAGAUCAUUCGGCCAACCAAAAAAUGUUGAAAUGAAGCUUGGUGCUAUAGCUGGCAAAAUAAUGUUUAUGGUUAGUGUAGUAUGGUAGAGCUUGAUAACAAGAAACUUCAACGGAGACCAUAUGAAAAAUGAAAGUAGCAUUACAAUAUUGACAAUAGCUUUAUACGACUAUUGAAAUAGAUUUUCACAACUAUGGUAGUAGCUUUU